UUCUCCUUCCUCCCUUCCAGCCACGUCCUCCCUUCUCUCUCUCCCCCCGACCUCUGGUUCAUUUUCUCUUCUUCCCUCUGCAACCACCAGAAAACACCGGUUCCGGCCACUACCUCUUGACACCGCCUCCACCCUUCGAACCAGAACCCAAUUCUGACCCAAACCUCACCAAAAUCACGGCCAUUCACCACCGUCCUCCUUCGCACGCGACAACCCAAGACUGCGCGUCACUGUUCCUCGACCCUCAUCGAUUUUCCGGCGAUUUCCACUCCCUUCCGCCACCUUCGUUCUACUCAACAAGCAAAGAGUAGCAAAACCCAGAAACCCCUCUGCCCGCCGACGCCUGAUGACGCCGUACAAGCAUCGCCGGAGGUCCCCAUUCUGCAUGCCUUCAUUCUCCGAUCUCCAGCUCGAAUCGAGCUUCAACACUCCCAUAAAUGAAGUCGGAGCUCCACUAUCCUUCGAAACCCAAACUCUCGACCUCCGACUCCGACCAAAGCCGCUGGACGGGCUUCACGUGCCGCCACUGGUGCGUGGGAGAAGCUAGCUCCGCCGCUCACGGUCACUGGAACGUAUCUGUUAGGUAAUUUACGUCAUCCUAGUAUGGGUUAAAGCCUCCAUUCGGUUUAGAUUGAAAACUCUAAUUCGUGUUGUUCGAUUUGCAAUGUGAGGUUUUGCGAAAUCUGCAAAUUUUGGGGAUUUUUGGAGAAGAGAAGUGUUGAGUCAGUGUCCAUUGAAAAUGGAUUGAGAUUUGGUGGAUUAUUGCAUUCUGGGAAGUUUUGGAGAGGAGAGAAUCUGUUGGGUCAAUUCAAUUGAUACCGAGAAAAGGGUUCGAAUGGUUGAUGGUGGUGAAGCACAGCCAUGUUAAGUUGACUGCAAGUUUGGAGAAGAAAGAUGGACUCGAGCAUGUGUACUUGGAUUUGAACAAAUGAUCGAAAGUCGAGAACGAACCCGAAUGUGGACGAGCACUCCAAUUCCAGGUACUUUGAGAAGCAGUUGAGGAGAAAACAGAGCUACUGUGGGGUAAUCAAGGAAAUUCACAUGAAGUAGUGAUGCAAAGGAUGGAUUCUGAUCAUUCAUUGGUCCUAAAACUCAAGAGAAGAUGGAGAGAGUUUCCGUGCAAAACAAUUGCCAAGAAGCAGAAAACAGAGUACUAGAGUCUAUCUUAUUUUCUUUUGUCUUGGGAAGCUGUUUUGAAGAACUUUCGAGUGGAGUUAUGAAGAAAGGCCUGUCAAUAUUUGAAGACCACAUGUUCUACUAUAACUGCAGGCAAAGAUUUGGUCCAGAAUGAUGAGGAGUAAGCCGGAGGCUGUGCUCAAAGUUGGUACCCCGAGAAGACUGUUUCCAUCAGCUUUUCAGGAAGCUUUUUCAAGGACUUUUCUACUGGACUUAAGGGAUGAAAAUCAUGAAGUUCUCUGCCCAUAUUUGAAGAAUAUAUGUUGUAGAGAAUUUUAAAAUCAAGAAUCAUCCAGAAAGAUGGUGGAAUGCAUAAGUUAUGAUGCUGCAAAGAUGAGCAGAGGAUAAGGAAAAUCUGGAAUUUCUGACAAGUCUUUCUGCGAAGCAUUUUCAAGACUGUUGUUGGGCCACGUUUCAAGAAGAUUUCUAGAAGUUUUUUGCACGGUUUUGAAGAGUGACAUCAUAAGUAUUAUGUGGCAGAAUAUCACCUUCGAAUCUGCUGGGAACCCUUGUCAAACAUGGAGAGGAAAAUCAAUCUUAGUUGAGAAAGGAAAGUGAAUUAAAGGCUAUAUUUUCUGAAGAUAUUCUUGGCAGAUUUUGGGACGAAUAUUAUUGGAUUUUUGCUGCAUUAUACUUAUGAAGAGAAGGUUAAGGUUCAGAAGAUUGUGUGGCAGCUAAGCAAGUGGAAUUGGAGAAGAAUAAGGAGAACUCAACUCGGUUUUGGGGAGAAAAGCUAGGGGCUUGUAAACCAUAAAAAUAGGAGGCUUCUUUGCAUCAUAGGAGACCAUAUUAUACAGAUUUCACGCCUCAAAACACCCCUAGCUAGCUCUCUGGUUUUCGAAGCUCCAUACAAGCAUAAGGAAAAGAAGCUGCCAAAGUCGCUAUCUGCGACCAUCGUGAGCAUCCAUCUUCAAGCAACAUCCACCGUGCCUCUUCACUCUUUUUUUUUCUGCAACUUUGUCCUUUUAUUUUCAAUAUGUUACUGUGUGUUUACCUUAGAACAAUGAGUAGCUAAAUACUUUUUUGUUAGGGGCUAGUUUGAAGCCCUAAACUAUGGUUCAAGUUUCAUAAUACAUUUCUAUGUUUUAGUUACUUUGUCAA